GUUGACUGGAGGGCAUAAGUGUGAUCAGUUAUGGAAAUAUUACAGCCCGGACAUAGGCUGAUUGUCUGGGGGACUAUCUAUAUGUCGGUCCUAAUGCACUGCGAUGCUGAUCGAUGCUUUCCUGUUGUCAUCCCCGAAUGCCAAGAUGCAACAUACAACCAAGGGAAUGGUGUACCUCCACGUGAGAUAAGCCAUGGUGGACUAAUACCAGACGUGCAAAAUGUACUCCAGCCAGAGCAAAACCCGGAUGGAGACUUACCAGAUGGACAAUUUAUACCGCCACCAGCUGGACACUAUGGCACACCCUCACAAAAUGAAAGAGAUCCAAAGUGCUUUUAUGUGCGAGUUCGUGAGGACUUUCAAGAUCCACCAGACUAUCCAGAUUAUAUCUACGGUCUUUCGCCAUAUGCGAGAGCAGGUCAAGUGCCAAAUCCCUAUUGGGUUCGGCAUCCAAAACACAAAGUACAAAAAAGGAAACUUGGAAAAGGAAAGAUAAGACACAGAAGUAGCAGCACGAAGUCACGUAGAAAAUCAAAAUCAUGGAAGCAUCCAAAAAGAUAAGUGGAUCCCAUUUUUUAUUAUCUGGCGACGCUCAUCAAAAUAAUAAAAGAAACACGGAAAACCAUAAACAGAAUGGUCUAGAAUCACUUUGAAAUAUAUAUUCUGCUUUUCAAUAAUUUAUUUUUAGUCUGAUUGAAUUUUCAACAGAAAAACGAUCGCUGGCGUUUCAGUUUUUGUAUAUGAUGUGCGAAAAAUCAAUCAUAAUGAAAAUAAAUGUAUAUAUUUUAAC
rnacentral:lncRNA from 1 species